rnacentral:rRNA from 1 species
AGAUUGAACGCUAGCGGGAUGCCUUACACAUGCAAGUCGAACGGCAGCGCGGACUUCGGUCUGGCGGCGAGUGGCGAACGGGUGAGUAAUAUAUCGGAACGUGCCCAGUAGCGGGGGAUAACUACGCGAAAGCGUGGCUAAUGCCGCAUACGCCCUACGGGGGAAAGGGGGGAUCGCAAGACCUCUCACUAUUGGAGCGGCCGAUAUCAGAUUAGCUAGUUGGUGAGGUAAAGGCUCACCAAGGCGACGAUCUGUAGCUGGUUUGAGAGGACGACCAGCCACACUGGGACUGAGACACGGCCCAGACUCCUACGGGAGGCAGCAGUGGGAAUUUUGGACAAUGGGGGAAACCUGAUCCAGCCAUCCCGCGUGUGCGAUGAAGGCCCUCGGGUUGUAAAGCACUUUUGGCAGGAAGAAACGGCGUCCCUUAAUACGGGCUCACUGACGGUACCUGCAGAAUAAGCACCGGCUAACUACGUGCCAGCAGCCGCGGUAA